rnacentral:rRNA from 1 species
UACGUAGGGUGCGAGCGUUGUCCGGAAUCAUUGGGCGUAAAGCGCGUGUAGGCGGUUCGAUAAGUCUGCUGUGAAAGUCCAGGGCUCAACCCUGGAAAGCCGGUGGAUACUGUCGGACUAGAGUGCGGAAGAGGCGAGUGGAAUUCCCGGUGUAGCGGUGAAAUGCGCAGAUAUCGGGAGGAACACCAAUUGCGAAGGCAGCUCGCUGGGACGUUACUGACGCUGAGACGCGAAAGCGUGGGGAGCAAACAGG